AGUGGGGAAUUUUGGACAAUGGGGGCAACCCUGAUCCAGCCAUGCCGCGUGCGGGAAGAAGGCCUUCGGGUUGUAAACCGCUUUUAGCCGGGAAGAAAAGGCACGGGCUAACACUCCGUGUUCUUGACGGUACCGGCGGAAUAAGCACCGGCUAACUACGUGCCAGCAGCCGCGGUAAUACGUAGGGUGCGAGCGUUAAUCGGAAUUACUGGGCGUAAAGCGUGCGCAGGCGGUUCGUCAAGUCUUGUGUGAAAGCCCCGGGCUUAACCUGGGAAUGGCAUGGGAAACUGGCGGGCUUGAGUGCGGCAGAGGGGGGUGGAAUUCCGCGUGUAGCAGUGAAAUGCGUAGAGAUGCGGAGGAACACCGAUGGCGAAGGCAGCCCCCUGGGUCGACACUGACGCUCAGGCACGAAAGCGUGGGGAGCAAA
rnacentral:rRNA from 1 species